rnacentral:rRNA from 1 species
GAUGAACGCUGGCGGCGUGCUUAACACAUGCAAGUCGAACGAUGAAGCCCAGCUUGCUGGGUGGAUUAGUGGCGAACGGGUGAGUAACACGUGAGUAACCUGCCCUUAACUCUGGGAUAAGCCUGGGAAACUGGGUCUAAUACCGGAUAGGAGCGUCCACCGCAUGGUGGGUGUUGGAAAGAUUUAUCGGUUUUGGAUGGACUCGCGGCUUAUCAGCUUGUUGGUGAGGUAAUGGCUCACCAAGGCGACGACGGGUAGCCGGCCUGAGAGGGUGACCGGGAACACUGGGACAGAGACACGGCACAGACUCCAACGGGAGGCAGCAGUGGGGAAUAUUGCACAAUGAGAGCAAGACUGAUGCAGAGACGCCGCGUGAGGGAUGACGGCCUUCGGGUUGUAAACCUCUUUCAGUAGGGAAGAAGCGAAAGUGACGGUACCUGCAGAAGAAGCACCGGCUAACUACGUG